rnacentral:rRNA from 1 species
GACGAAGGGUCCUAGCGUUGUUCGGAAUCACUGGGCGUAAAGCGUAUGUAGGCGGGCUUUUAAGUCGAAUGUGAAAUCCCAUGGCUCAACCAUGGAAUUGCAUCCGAAACUGGAAGUCUUGAGUGUGGGAGAGAUUGGUAGAAUACCUGGUGUAGUGGUGAAAUACGUAGAUAUCAGGUGGAAUACCGGUGGCGAAGGCGGCCAAUUGGCCCAACACUGACGCUGAGAUACGAAAGCCGGGGGAGCAAACAGG